rnacentral:rRNA from 1 species
UGGUGAAUAUUGCACAAUGGGCGCAAGCCUGAUGCAGCCAUGCCGCGUGUGUGAAGAAGGCCUUCGGGUUGUAAAUCACUUUCAGCGAGGAGGAAGGGUAGUGUGUUAAUAGCACAUUGCAUUGACGUUACUCGCAGAAGAAGCACCGGCUAACUCCGUGCCAGCAGCCGCGGUAAUACGGAGGGUGCAAGCGUUAAUCGGAAUUACUGGGCGUAAAGCGCACGCAGGCGGUUUGUUAAGUCAGAUGUGAAAUCCCCGCGCUUAACGUGGGAACUGCAUUUGAAACUGGCAAGCUAGAGUCUUGUAGAGGGGGGUAGAAUUCCAGGUGUAGCGGUGAAAUGCGUAGAGAUCUGGAGGAAUACCGGUGGCGAAGGCGGCCCCCUGGACAAAGACUGACGCUCAGGUGCGAAAGCGUGGGGAGCAAACA